CAUUAGCUAGUAGGUGAGGUAAGAGCUCACCUAGGCGACGAUGUGUAGCCGGUCUGAGAGGAUGAACGGCCACAAUGGAACUGAGACACGGUCCAUACUCCUACGGGGGGCAGCAGUGGGGAAUAUUGCACAAUGGGGGAAACCCUGAUGCAGCAACGCCGCGUGAGUGAAGAAGGUUUUCGGAUUGUAAAGCUCUGUUAGCAGGGAAGAGGAAGGACGGUACCUGCAGAGGAAGCCACGGCUAACUACGUGCCAGCAGCCGCGGUAAUACGUAGGUGGCAAGCGUUGUUCGGAAUAACUGGGCGUAAAGGAUGCGUAGGCGGUUGAGUAAGUUAUGUGUUAAAUAUAUAGGCUUAACCUGUAGAAAGCACAUAAAACUGUUUAACUAGAGUGCAGGAGAGGUAAGUGGAAUUCCUAGUGUAGCGGUGAAAUGCGUAGAGAUUAGGAAGAACACCAGUGGCGAAGGCGACUUACUGGACUGUAACUGACGCUGAGGCAUGAGAGCAUGGGGAGCAAACAGGAUUAGAUACCCUGGUAGUCCAUGCUGUAAACGAUGGGUACUAGGUGUGGGU
rnacentral:rRNA from 1 species